CACAGAUAUGUGAUAUUUGGAAGGUCUCUAAGUUGCGUCAAAAUUUUUUGGGGAUUGUUUAGAUCUUAGGACAUGGGUUUUUUAUUUUUUAUUUUCAUGGAGCUUGGUUGUUUAACAAUGGAGGUUGGGCUCGCUUGGCCUAGUCCAAGGACCUUAUGGGUGUUUAUCAUUUACUCUAUUUCUUAUAUCAAAUAUGCUAAUCUUUUUAUACACACUGAUUUUUUUUAUAGAGUCAUUGGGUUUUGUAGCAAUGCCUGCUAGAAACUCUCCAUCCACUACCAUUGCAAGAAGAUAUCCAUCCUAAAUGAGACAGUGGGAAAUUUAUGCAAGGAUAAUUGGCCUUCUGUGAUGUUUGCAAUGGCAGGAGGGGUGGUACUUAGCCUUGGAAAUCUCUCAACUCAGUAUGCUUGGGCUUUUGUUGGCUUAUCAGUCAUAGAA